UACGGAGGGUGCGAGCGUUGUUCGGAAUCACUGGGCGUAAAGGGCGUGUAGGCGGUCCGCUAAGUCUGAUGUGAAAGCCCGGGGCUCACCCCCGGAAGGGCAUUGGAAACUGGCGGACUCGAGUCCCGGAGAGGAAGGUGGAAUUCCACGUGUAGCGGUGAAAUGCGUAGAGAUGUGGAGGAACACCAGUGGCGAAGGCGGCUUUCUGGUCUGUAACUGACGCUGAGGCGCGAAAGCGUGGGGAGCAAACAGG
rnacentral:rRNA from 1 species